GUGCUUGCUUUGGCAGCACGUAUACCUAAAUUGGAAUGAUACAGAGAAGAUUAGCAUGGCCCCUGCGCAAGGAGGACACGCAAAUUUGUGAAGUGGUCCAUAUUUUC
ensembl:snRNA U6 U6 spliceosomal RNA